GACGAACGCUGGCGGCGUGCCUAAUAAAUGCACGUCGACCUUGGGGGCGGACGGGUGAGUAACACGUUGGAACCUACCCAUCAGAGGGGGAUAACACUUGGAAACAGGUGCUAAUACCGCAUAUAUUGAUGGACACGCGUUGCAUUACCUAGGUGGUGAGGUAACGGCUCACCAAGGCCACGAUGCAUACCUGACCUGAGAGGAUGAUCAGUCACACUGGAACUGAGACACGGUCCAGACUCCUCCGGGAGGCAGAAGUGGGGAAUAUUGGACAAUGGGCGAAAGCCUGAUCCAGCCAUGCCGCGUGUGUGAGGAAGGUCUUCGGAUUGUAAAGCACUUUAAGUUGGGAGGCGUUACCAACAGAAUAAGCACCGGCUAACUUCGUGCCAGCAGCCGCGGUAAUUC
rnacentral:rRNA from 1 species